GUGAUUAUUGCAUAGUUAACCUUACACCGUUUGGCAUUAUGCCUUUUUGUUUUCAUCGUAGCCAUGACCCAUGUCAUAAAAAGACAACAACGCUUUAUCUGCAAAAACGUUUGCAAUAUUAAGGGUUUGUAUUUCGCGUAUCAGUGACUAUUGACUGGUGCAAACAUAUGCAGCGGCCGCGGGUUUAAACGUUUAGGUAUCAAUCUAAGUUUUAAUAUGUACUAACUCUAUAUAUAGCUAAGAUUUAUUACACGAUAAUAUUAAUAGAAUAGGAUAGAAAGAUGAUAAAGGAAGCACCAUGUGGGUCAUGAGACAAUGAGUCACCAAUACAAAAUAAAAAGAC
rnacentral:lncRNA from 1 species